rnacentral:rRNA from 1 species
UACGUAGGGAGCGAGCGUUAUCCGGAAUUAUUGGGCGUAAAGCGUGCGUAGGCGGCGUGUUAAGUCGAAUGUGAAAGCCCACAGCUUAACUGUGGAGGGUCAUUCGAAACUGGCAUGCUAGAGUACGGCAGAGGUUAGUGGAAUUCAACGUGUAGCGGUAAAAUGCGUAGAUAUAUUGAGGAACACCAGUGGCGAAGGCGGCUAACUGGACCGGAACUGACGCUGAGGCACGAAAGCGUGGGUAGCAAACAGG